AUUGAACGCUGGCGGCAGGCCUAACACAUGCAAGUCGAACGAGUGGCGGACGGGUGAGUAAUGUCUGGGAAACUGCCUGAUGGAGGGGGAUAACUACUGGAAACGGUAGCUAAUACCGCAUACCAUCGGAUGUGCCCAGAUGGGAUUAGCUAGUAGGUGGGGUAACGGCUCACCUAGGCGACGAACCCUAGCUGGUCUGAGAGGAUGACCAGCCACACUGAAACUAAGACACGGUCCAGACUCUGACGGGAGGCAGCAGUGGGGAAUAUUGCACGAGGGACACAAGCCUGAUGCAACCAUGCCGCGUGUAUGAAGCAGGCCUUCGGGUUGAAAAGUACUUUCAACGGGGAGACGUUACCCGCAGAAGAAGCACCGGCUAACUCCGUGCCAGCCGCCGCGGUAAUUC
rnacentral:rRNA from 1 species